rnacentral:rRNA from 1 species
CCUACGGGUGGCAGCAGUGGGGAAUAUUGCACAAUGGGGGAAACCCUGAUGCAGCGACGCCGCGUGAAGGAAGAAGUAAUUCGUUACGUAAAGCUCUAUCAGCAGGGGAGAAAAUGACGGUACCUGAGUAUGAAGCCCCGGCUAACUACGGUCCAGCAGCCGCGGUAACGCGCAGGGGGCAAGCGUUAUCCGGAUUUACUGGGUGUAAAGGGAGAGUAGAUGGUUCGUCAAGACAGUAGUGAAAUGCCUCAGCUUAACUGCGGAAGUGCUUUGGAAACUGGCGAACUUGAGUGCGGGAGGGGUAAGCGGAAUUCGUAGUGUAGCGGUGAAAUGCGUAGAUAUUAGGAAGAACACCGGUUGCGAAGGCGGCUUACUGGACCGUAACUGACGUUGAGGCUCGAAAGCGUGGGGAGCAAACAGGAUUAGAUACCCGUGUAGUC